rnacentral:lncRNA from 1 species
UUUUUUUAAAAAAAAAGUCAAUUUGUAUGAAAAUUUUAAAAGUUUUGAACUUUUGUAAAACUGAGCCGUCUUUUUCGAUUUUACAGAUUCGACUCGAAUUUUCAAUAAACUGGCCAAAAUAUUCUUGCUCUUUUUCUCUCUCCUUUUUUUUUCUAGCAUUAUUUUUUUUUCUUACCAAAGAAGUCGACGAAGGCGAAGGCGGAAACUGCUGCCCGCCUCUGCCCCUCAUGCUCUCGCCCUCGCUUGCGCAUGCCCCGCCCUCCUAACCUCCAACUCCGGCAAGGCUGCGUCAUGACCAUUUUUUUUUUCCUCUCCGAUCCUCCUCCACCUGCCGUCCCCACCGUCGCCAUCGGCGACAAAGAGGAAGUAUUUAUCGGGGUCAAAAAGUAUGUCGGCGAGGAAGAAGGAGAAAAAUAGUUAUACUCCGACGAGGGCGGUGGUUGCGAUAGAAGGCAAGGAAAAGGUUGUGACAAAAAAAAAAUUAUAGUGAGAAAGAAAAUAAAAAUAAUAAAAAAUAAAAAAUAUUUUUUUUCUAAAGGAAAGACUAAAAAUCAUAGAAGAAAAAAAAGAUAAAAUUACACUGUUAAAAUAAAAUUACAUAAUUUAAAAAAAGUUUUCUACUAUUUUAUAUAAAAGUUGUACUUUUUUGAAUGAGAGUUAUACACUUUAGACGAAAGUUGCACUAUUUGGAUGAAAUUUACAUUAUUUCUUAUUCUCUUCUUUUUCCUCCUCCUUCUUGCCCACCAUUUUCUCAUCCUCCUCUUCCUUCCUCCUCCACCUUCUCCACUGCCGUCGCGGUCAAGCGCCC